AGCCACCCCAACCCGGAGCGCUGACUAGCCUCCCUGCGAGGAUGCCAGAGAAGGCGGAUCGAGCCCCGCGGGGCCAGCAUGGACACCUCGGGAGCUGUAGGGGCGCGGCCCCGGGUCGGCUCUCCACCUGGGUGCUUCUCGCACCCUGCCCUGCGUGCGCGCAAACUUACAUCUCCACUUGGGCAGCGAAAGGCUCCAGGGACCAGGUCUUCCCGGGUGGACGUGGCGGUUCCAGCACUGGGUCCCACCAGGGACCUGGGGAUUUAGACUCGUCUGGCUCCGACUCCAGAGGAGGAGGGGAAACCCAACCAGCAAGCCGGGACUCCGAGAGAGUCCCCGUCGCAUUUGAAUGUCCAUCCGCUACUUCCCCACCCCGCCCACGCUGUCACCUCUCCUUCUGCCCUGCGGAUUCCGCACCCUACCCAGCUCGUUCACCGAAUUCCGACAUUGAACCCGAAUUUGAUCAGCGUGUUUGGGCCCAGGCCACAGCCAGCAGGAGCUCUGGUCCUCGCUAGAGCAGCUGCAAGUGGGCAUCACUGUCCCCGGGGAGGGGACCCCACCUCGGACCAACAGAGGUGAAGUCACGCUUUCUAAAGUUACUCCCAGGCGAGAACAAGUGGAGAAGGACACUUGGGAGGACCGGUUGCAACAUGCUGACUCAUCUUGGGUGCCUAGAAGACUGAAGCGAUUCGAAACAGUGAUUCUAUCAACGGCAUCGCGAAAAUAAUUUAAGAGAGAAACUCCCAGCAUGCAAGAUUCCAGAGAAGCAAUCUGAUUGAUGUUCUACCUCAUGGGCCCUCCUCUCCCUGUUACCUGGCUAUGGCAGCCCAGGGACUGGCCUGAAAGGAUCCCGUGUUUAUGCUAUUUUAGUAGUUGGUUUCCCCCAGGUUUUGACUAUGACCAGACAUUGAAGCUCUAGGUACUUCCUAAGGGUUUAACAUUUUAUUCGUUUUUCAGGAGAUGAUGAGAAAUGUACAUUUCUGUCCUGCUCAAGGUAAAGCCUUACAAAAGGUAUUUGUUCUCAACUUUCAUUUUAGUUUUGCUUAAUGUGAAG